rnacentral:misc_RNA from 1 species
ACAUAUUUUGAGUUUAUUGAGCAAUGGAAAAACCAAUAAAACUUCUUCUAGGAUUUCAAUUACUAUAAGUAAUAGUUGUCGCUCAAUUCUUCUAUUGACAUAUGUGAUUUCCUGUAGUUUUUUUUUUGGCUAUUCGAUUGAUAAGGUGUAAAUGUUAUCACUAUCAACAAUAAUGACAUUCAUAGUUAUUAAAGAGACAUGCCUUAGGCUCUAGGCUCAUCAAGCUCCAACCUUAAUGUCUCUUCAAGAGGAAGACAAGUGAUGUUCACUAGACACUCCCCUUAUGCACCUAGGUGUGCUCCUUUUUCUAAGCACAAGGCUUUGGAAAGGCACAACUUCUCUAUUUCCGCCUUUGGCGAGCACGUCUAUUAGCAAAAAAACACUACCACUUGACUUGAAAUUUGCCAAUUUACCGGAAUCCAAUAUUAACACACUAGGAAGUUUUUGAAAUUAAUA